rnacentral:lncRNA from 1 species
UCUCCCUGUGAUCCGCAGCCCUCGGGUGGCUUUGUGCAGACUGUCGCGCGUUCGGCCAACCUGCGGAGCACUGAGGAGGCUGGAGGAGCGAGUGGGCAGGCUGGCGGUCUGUCAGGCUUCUUGGAAACUAAAAUUGGAGCUGUGCAGUUCUCUUGCCGAGCGACCUUAGUGUUAUCGAAGGAGAAAUGCGAAACCGAAGUGGUUAGGGUUACUACUGACCAGACUCGAGGAGGACUUGCGAGACUGACUUUGGGUAACCAAGAUUACAAGAGUCUCAAUUUGUU